GCGCCCUUAGCUCAGCUGGAUAGAGCAUCGACCUUCUAAGUCGAAUGUCGGGGGUUCGAAUCCCUCAGGGCGCGCCA
rnacentral:tRNA from 2 species